rfam:Lottia gigantea unplaced genomic scaffold LOTGIsca_2, whole genome shotgun sequence.
GUGGGAUAUGGUGAUAUAUAUCCUAUAUCACCUAUAGGGAAAUGUGUGGGUACAGUAUGUUCGCUCUGUGGUCUGUUGAUAAUCUCCAUGCCUAUAGCCAUUAUAGCAGCUAAU